rnacentral:rRNA from 1 species
CGGGAGUAAUGUAUGGGGAUCUGCCCGACUAGAGGGGGGUAACUACUGGAAACGGUGGGUAAUACCGCAUAAUGUCUACGGACCAAAGCAGGGGCCCGUUCGGACCUUGCACUAUCGGAUGAACCCAUAUGGGAUUAGCUAGUAGGUGGGGUAAAGGCUCACCUAGGCGACGAUCUCUAGCUGGUCUGAGAGGAUGAUCAGCCACACUGGGACUGAGACACGGCCCAG